rfam:Zostera marina strain Finnish scaffold_139, whole genome shotgun sequence.
GGGUGCGAUCAUACCAGCACUAAAGCACCGGAUCCCAUCAGAACUCCGCAGUUAAGCGUGUUUCGGCAAGAGUAGUACUGGGAUGGGUGACCUCCUGGGAAGUCCUCGUGUUGCACCCC